CUACGGGUUGCUGCAGUGGGGAAUAUUGCACAAUGGGCGCAAGCCUGAUGCAGCCAUGCCGCGUGUAUGAAGAAGGCCUUCGGGUUGUAAAGUACUUUCAGCGGGGAGGAAGGGAGUAAAGUUAAUACCUUUGCUCAUUGACGCUACCCGCAGAAGAAGCACCGGCUAACUCCGUGCCAGCAGCCGCGGUAAUACGGAGGGUGCAAGCGUUAAUCGGAAUUACUGGGCGUAAAGCGCACGCAGGCGGUUUGUUAAGUCGGGUGUGAAAUCCCCGGGCUCAACCUGGGAACUGCAUCGGAUACUGGCAAGCUUGAGUAUCGUAGAGGGGGGUAGAAUUCCAGGUGUAGCGGUGAAAUGCGUAGAGAUCUGGAGGAAUACCGGUGGCGAAGGCGGCCCCCUGGACGAAGACUGACGCUCAGGUGCGAAAGCGUGGGGAGCAAACAGGAUUAGAUACCCCGGUAGUC
rnacentral:rRNA from 1 species